CGAGAAAGCGCAGCUUUUUUCAGUUUACGAUCGUGAAAUUGAAGGAGUAAUAAGUGGGUGUUGGUCAAAAUCGACUUCGAUCUGGCUUUAAAGCCAAGCCUAGUAAAGAAAAAUAUUUCGAAGGAAAGGAAAGAUGCGCUCGGGGCACGCUGCAAAAUGUUGCGAACGCACCUAAGCGGAAUGGAAUAAAAGAUUUUCCAUUGAUACACGCGUGUAACGAAUAGGUAUAAGUAUUCUAAUUUCUAUAUACAUGUAUACGGGAGAAGAAAGUAAGAAAGGGAGAAAAAUAGAAGGAACGAUGUCAUCGUUAUAAUUUAGUAUCAAAACAUAAACGUUACCUCGAAAUAAAAAUGUUUCUUUAACUAGCUGUUGUUUAAUUUUAGUUGCGAUAAAAUCAAAAGGACGCCUUUUAGCUCUUCGUUAUUUCUUCAGCCGUUCGAUUCAAAUUAAAGGUAAAUGGGUGUUUACUACGAUAGUACUGGGUAUUUCAAGUCUAGAAAAAUGCAAGCCCGUUAGUAACUAAUAAAAAAAAGAUUAAAUCGUAAAUACUUGUAUUCGUACGUAACAUAUGUAAAAAUACGAAAUGAACAGAAUUUAAUAUAACGAAGGUAUUCCCAAGGAAACCACGAACCACCACUGUUUGAAGAUUCUUCUAUUUUUAAACUAAUAAAUAUUCUCAUCUACGUAUAAAGGACGAUCGAAAGUUUUCUUCUCUCGUUCUGCUUGUUAAAGAAAUUGUAAAUAUUUUCGAUAAAACAUUUGAAAUUACGUUUAAAAGUAAGAGAGUGACAGGGAGAGAAACGGGGCUGGGAAGAGAGUACUCAAAUUAUAUGUACGUACGUUACGAAGGACAGCUGACCAAAACGACAACACUUGAAAUCGUACAAGUUUUAAGACAGUUCGUCUUAUCAAAUAUCGAUAUUUUCCAAAUAAAGUGAUUAAAACGUUUUUCUUUCUUUCUUCCUCUUUCCCCUAAAAAAUGGAUUACGUACAUACAAGGAAAUAUACGUAACAUUGGGAUUCGAGAACCUUUAUUAUAUUAUUAAUCCUUUCCAAUAAAAUAUUUUUCUUACUUGUUACGCGUUACGAGAAACAAACAACGAAUUUGCACACCUGUCGCGUGUACUUACUAACGUGCAUGUGCUUAUACGCGUAUUAUUCGUAUUUAUACAGAAAUAAUGCCAAAAAUAAGCAUUUAUGGACUUAAGAAUUGUAUAUAAGGUAAUAACUGAAACAAGCAAGUCUUGUAUAUAAAAACAUGACCUUACGUAAUAAACACACAAAAACCAUCUUUCAUACUAUUCUACAUUUCUCGAAUUUUCCCUUAAUUGUCCUGUACAUUAUACGAAUAUUAUUUUUAAUUCAUUUUUAUCGAAUAAUCUUAGUUGAUAUAUAAGAGUAUAUGAAAAUAUUUAAUUUGACCGAAUAUGUUUACUCGGAAUUCAGUAUAUGUAAUAGAAUAAUGCGCAGAUAAAACAAAUACAAACAUUCUCUCUUCCUCUCCCCCUUUUUCCAACUCUCCUUCUUUUCCUCGCUCAUUCAUUAUUUAAUAUUUUUGUUGGCCACAAACAAUAGGUAAUUUGGAAAAAUUCCUUAGUACAUACUUGCUUUAUGUACGAAUGCUUUCCUUUCCAUCUACCUCUCUUGUAGAUGACUAUUUCUUCCCAAUUCAUACAUUUUCAAUAUUUAAUCGAACGCUUCAACUGAUGCAACAACUCCUUUUUCUUCCUCUUCCUUUUUUUUUUAUCUUCCUUUUCUUUUCUUUUUCUUUUUUUUUCUCUUUUUUCUUCUUUUUCCUUUUUUUUUCUUUUUUUUUCUUUUCUUUUUUUUUUUUUUUUUUUUUUUUUUUU